AUAUGAGAUUUUUGUUUUUUUUAUAUUUCUAAUUAAUUGCCUCUGAACAUGUUUAUUUUGGCUUUGUGAGAUGAUGGAAAUGCAAAAAUGGUGUCUUUUUUAAAAGCCCAAAACCAGAAAACUGAAAAAAAGCAGACUUUUAAUGAACAAAGUCAUAAUUUGUUUACUGGGGAAGAAAAGUGGUAUGGACAAUUAAUGGAGUUGUAAAAAAGAUACCUUUGAUAAGGUCUCUAAUGGCGGUGAAAGAUUUCUGCAAGAGGAAAUCUUAACAAUUACAUCCAAUUCAUUCAUUUUUGAAAAAUCCUUGAUAAGACUUCAAAUGUGUGGAUUUGCUGAUCUACGAGUGACAUUAUUAAGGUACUCAGGUGGUUGGCAACUUGACUAUGCCAUAAGCAUCUGUAAAUCUAUUAGCAUAGAAGAGUAUCUAGAUGGAGGUGAAGUAUACACUAUUUAUUUCCCAAGAGUGAACAGAUUUUCUGAAGGAAAGGAGGAUGGAAAACUUAGCCUUUUAGCAUUUCAUGGAUCAAAGUAGAAUGUUUAUAAUCUCGUGUAUUCCACUAAAUGGUGGGAUGAGUAGCAAUUGACUGUGAGGUUGAAUGUGGGAGCUGUUUAUAAUUCAACGUUAUGUUAGGAAAAUAAAAUAUCAGUGAGGGUAGGCUGCACGCUAUCCCUUGGUUGUUCACUUGUGUCGUAUUGGAAUGAACUUGAGGGGGAUGAGUGUGAGGGAGUUAUAUAUAAUCCGACUUUACAAGCAUUUACUUGUUCCAAGGACUUCGCGAGUAAAAGUCUCGCAGUUGCCUGCUAAUUGAUGAGAGUCAUAAGUAAAUCCCAUUGAAUGGUGGUUAGAACAGAUUCUUAGAUGUAACAUGUGUAAUAUAACAAAUAAAAGAAAGCAGUGAAUUCAUAUGUA